CGCAGCUUGAUGACGCUAUUUCCGGGUUGUGUGUCUGGAUAGCGGCGUCUAUUUCUGAAGAUAGGGAAAGGCUUCUACCCAUCUCAAGAACAUAUCCACAAAAGCCAGAAGAUAGCUGCUUCCAUCUGUGAACCAGUAACUUCUGUGCCCUCUAGUGGCUGGUCUAUCAGAUCUUCAUGCCACCCAUGUGCCUCUGCAAGAACUUGCUGACAGUCUGGGUCUGGGAGCAGGAGAGGAUUCCCUUAAUCCUGCAGAGACUUGAUGCCCCAGGGUGAAGAGAAUGAGGGGAGAGGGCACCCUCUCAGAGGUGAAGAGGAGGAUGGGUGGGGGAAAGAACUCAAGAGGGGACCAGGAGGGGAGCAACAUUUGUGAUGUUAAUAAAUAUAAUAAUUAUUAAUAAAAA